UGGAUCCAGACUUUGAUUAUGGCUCAGGAUGAACGCUAGCUACAGGCUUAACACAUGCAAGUCGAGGGGCAGCAUAUCGGUAGCUUGCUACUGGUGAUGGCGACCGGCGCACGGGUGAGUAACGCGUAUCCAACCUUCCCAUGACUGGGGAAUAACCUUGCGAAAGUAAGACUAAUACCCCAUGGUUUCCGAGGCGGACAUCCAAUUUGGAAUAAAGAUUCAUCGGUCAUGGAUGGGGAUGCGUCUGAUUAGCUUGUUGGCGGGGUAACGGCCCACCAAGGCGACGAUCAGUAGGGGUUCUGAGAGGAAGGUCCCCCACAUUGGAACUGAGACACGGUCCAAACUCCUACGGGAGGCAGCAGUGAGGAAUAUUGGUCAAUGGACGAGAGUCUGAACCAGCCAAGUAGCGUGCAGGAUGACGGCCCUAUGGGUUGUAAACUGCUUUUAUACGGGAAUAAAGUCAAUCACGUGUGAUUGUUUGUAUGUACCGUAUGAAUAAGGACCGGCUAAUUCCGUGCCAGCAGCCGCGGUAAUACGGAAGGUCCGGGCGUUAUCCGGAUUUAUUGGGUUUAAAGGGAGCGUAGGCCGCCGAUUAAGCGUGUUGUGAAAUGCCGCAGCUCAACUGUGGCACUGCAGCGCGAACUGGUUGGCUUGAGUGCGCGGAAGGCAGGCGGAAUUUGUGGUGUAGCGGUGAAAUGCUUAGAUAUCACGAAGAACCCCGAUUGCGAAGGCAGCUUGCCGCAGCGUAACUGACGCUGAAGCUCGAAAGUGCGGGUAUCGAACAGGAUUAGAUACCCUGGUAGUCCGCACGGUAAACGAUGGAUGCCCGCUGUUCCGGCUAUAUGUUGGAGUGGCCAAGCGAAAGCGUUAAGCAUCCCACCUGGGGAGUACGCCGGCAACGGUGCAACUCAAAUGAAUUGACGGA
rnacentral:rRNA from 1 species